UACGUAGGGUGCAAGCGUUAAUCGGAAUUACUGGGCGUAAAGCGUGCGCAGGCGGUUGUGCAAGACAGAUGUGAAAGCCCCGGGCUCAACCUGGGAACUGCGCUUGAGACUGGCACGCUCGAGUUCGGGAGAGGAUGGUGGAAUUCCCAGUGUAGAGGUGAAAUUCGUAGAUAUUGGGAAGAACACCGAUGGCGAAGGCAGCCAUCUGGACCGACACUGACGCUGAGGCACGAAAGUGUGGGGAUCAAACAGG
rnacentral:rRNA from 1 species